rnacentral:tRNA from 1 species
GGGUGUUUGGUCUGAUGGUAUGAUUUUCGCUUUGGGUGUGAGAGGUCGUGAGUUCAAUUCUCAUAGCACCCC